UUCAGCAAGAGAAGAAUAUGAAGCUGCAAAAAUCAAGAGGAAAAGAGCAACAUCAUGACACGGUUUCAGUUGCCUAGGUCAUAUGAUGAAUUUCAUGUUUUUUUUACAUGAGCACGUUGAUUGGAUUACGUACACAUAACUAUAUAUGUUCAAUCGAUUCUGAGAAGAAGAAAUAAGCAUAAUUUCAAUCUUGGAUAUGCAUACACUGGUGGUGUUCCUUAAAAUUGCACAAAAAUAAUAACAAAGAUGAAUUGGAGAUAAUUCACAUCCCAGCCGUAGCCUCUCUCACCUCUCAAUCUCUCAUAUGACAGCAGCGUACAAGUAGACCACACAGAGCAGAGCACGCAGCCCGGAAUAGUAGCGUCCCCCACACACACCGCACACAGGACACAACGCCAUCACCAGACGUGANGAGAGGGGGUCUAACCGACGAGGCAUCGGCGGUGUGGAGUGGUUUCGAACAGGCUGGAGAAGUCGGACUAGGGUCUGAGACGGGAGCGGCCUCGUGAUCUUGGUUGUGCCGAGGAGGAACGGCGCUGCUCCCACACAGACCUCUUGGUCUUAAACAGUGCCGGAUUGGGCCACGUGGGGGAGCCGUGGGGCUAAAUUUUAUGUUUUGACUUUUUUAAAGAAAUUGAUCGAGAUCUGACCCUAAUUUGUGAAAAAGUUAAGAUCUGACGCUUUUCCUAUCGCGGAGUCCAUGGCAGUGAGGUUGCAUAUCCUAUCGCAAAUAUUUCUAAGUUCCAAACACAGAGCGCGUACGCACCCUACCGCCACGCACCUUAAUGGUAGCUAGGUUGCAUAUGAU
rnacentral:lncRNA from 1 species